UCAGUUACUAAAGAAACAUUUAUGCCAAUAUAUAUUUUUUUAAUAGUAAAUGACUAUAAAUCCAGAUACCAAAGAAUCAAAAACAUCAGAAAAAUCAACUUUGUUUUAAUUAAAUUUAUGCCAAUAUAUUGAAAUUCCAAACACAUAUUCCAAUAUAUAUUGACAUUCUAAACAUAUAUCAAUUGUAACUAUAACUUUUUUUUUAUCUUUUUAAAAUUAAUCAUUCUUUAAAAAUAAAGUACAAAAUUAAUGUGUAAAACGUAAUUGAGAACAAUCUGUUACAAACGUAAUAUGAAACUGUCGUAAAUUCUUCAUACAUUCUAUUGCUCAAAUCAAAGUUUCCACCUCCGAACGAAGAGAUGAAAGACAUAGCCAAAUAAUGACACUC
rnacentral:lncRNA from 1 species